rnacentral:rRNA from 1 species
UACGUAGGGUGCAAGCGUUAAUCGGAAUUACUGGGCGUAAAGCGUGCGCAGGCGGUUUGGUAAGACAGAUGUGAAAUCCCCGGGCUCAACCUGGGAACUGCGUUUGAAACUACAAGGCUAGAGUGUAGCAGAGGGGGGUAGAAUUCCACGUGUAGCAGUGAAAUGCGUAGAGAUGUGGAGGAAUACCAAUGGCGAAGGCAGCCCCCUGGGUUAACACUGACGCUCAUGCACGAAAGGCGUGGGGAGCAAACGAGGAUU